UACGGAGGGUGCAAGCGUUAUUCGGAAUUAUUGGGCGUAAAGAGCGCGUAGGCGGUCUCUUAAGUCAGAUGUGAAAGCCUUUCGCUUAACGGAAGAAGUGCAUUUGAAACUGAGAGGCUUGAGUAUGGGAGAGGGAAGUGGAAUUCCUGGUGUAGCGGUGAAAUGCGUAGAUAUCAGGAGGAACACCGGUGGCGAAGGCGACUUCCUGGACCAAUACUGACGCUGAGGCGCGAAGGCGUGGGGAGCAAACAGG
rnacentral:rRNA from 1 species